GCCCCGGCCACAAGAGCAGGGACGCAGUGAAGGAGGGCGCUGUGCUUUGCAGAAGUCGUGUCAGAACCCCCACCCCUGGCUGUGGUCCUUUCCGACGCCUGCCAGCCCCAUGGGGGUCCGAGCAGAGCUGUGCCUCCCAGGGGCUCAGCCACCGCCUUUUCCAGAAGUGGGUCACCAGGCCUUUCUUCCAAGACAUCUCUUGGAAGAUUCGAAGGGCUUGCUUGGGGCUUCAUGGCUCCGGAUUAAAAAGGCAGCGAGAUUGAUGGCAGCAAAGACUUCUUGGGGCCACCUGAAGAUAAAGCCACUCAGGAAUGAGAGCCAGCACCGGAGUCUGGGCCCUCACUCCAGCUGCCGUCUGAUGUGGGAGCCGUGUGCGAGCGCCGUGGACAGGCCGGCUCGGCCCCAGCCCUUCCUCCAGCAGCUCCGCCCGGAUCAAAGUGGAGAGCAGCUCGGCUUUUAUAGCAGAAUGAUUAAAACCACGUGGGGCUGGUUUCCUCACACGUGACCCCCCCAAAAAAGUGCAACAAAGUGGGGGGCAGAGAGAAGGUGAACCAAGGGGUCUCUCAACCCAGGGAGGAGGGGAGGUCACGGAGGAUAUGCGCACACGUGCUGCUUACACACACUAACGCAAAGCCCACAGACAUACGUGUACAUGCCAAAAUCAUGUCUUUUCUCUGCAAGUUGGAACAAAAGCCCCAAAAUCAAGCAGCCGGAGGCCCUGAGAGGGCAGGUUCUCACUCACUGCCAGGGAGUCGAUGGCCACUCACAGUGGCCCUAUAG